UUGGCAUAUCGCGAGGAUAUGCCAGAGAGGUGCAGCGUGCUCCCCAUUCUUCACUAUGGGAGCUCCAAAAAUAAUCGAGCCCGGGCGCCUGGCUAUUUUCAGAAGUCCCAUGGCAGUGAAUGGAGAGCGCACCGUGCAUGUAUGGCUGCCUCUUCAUUCACCGUUGCGCCAAAGGUGCAGGACAGGACUUGUCCCCUCUCCUGUCAUGUCUGUUUCAGUAACUACUCACAUUCCCCAUGUAACAACAAUUCUGGGGCACCAAUUCCUAUGGUUCUAUGUUGUGCCAAUCCUUUAUUAUUCCUGCUAGAAGUGAUCAAUGCAUUACUAGCAUCUGAAAUAAUGGUCCAGUUGGGUGUUACCAGUUGGGGGAGUGUCCAUGAACAGUUUGACACUAUAUAAUCGGUGCUGCCAGUGUCAGAAUGUGCUCAAACUUGUAACACCCAUUGCAAACCGAUAGCAAUUCAUAACUCCUAGCAGGAAUAAUAGAGGAAUUGUACAACAUACAGUCAUAAGAAUAGACGGUUCAGAACUGUUAUUACAUGGGGAAUGCAAGUAGUUACUAAAACAGACAAGUUAGGAGAGGGGACAGCUCCUCUUUAAAGGGGUGUUCCAGGAUAUAUAUUAAUGGCUGCUAGUGUAUAACCAGUGGGAGUCCUAACCUCGGGGGGGGGGGGGGGGGGGGUCCCAUCACCGAACAGCUUCAUCCAUACGUAUGGCUAUGACUAAAAACUACGCAAAGCCCUAUCCACUAGAAUGGCAGAAGCAGCAGUACCUUUGUGUCCUGACAGUAGGCCAUCAAUCUCAGAAAACCCCUUUUGGGUAAGGCCACGCGUAGUCACUACAGUAUAUAAUUUGUAGGAACAGUCUAUAUCAAACACAUAAAGUUGCU